ensembl:snRNA Gm25806 predicted gene, 25806
AGCUUUCCAUAGUGGAAGUAUUGCAGCCAAUGAGGUUUAUCUGAGGCAUGAUUAUUGCUAAUUGAAACUAUAGACGCUGUUCAAUUGUUUUAUACUAUUUUACCCACAUCUUUUUCAAUAGG